GGCAGUGUGGCCGAGUGGUCUAAGGCGGUUGAUUCGAAAUCAAUUGAGCGUGUCUCUCGCUGGUUCAAAUCCAGUCACUGUCG
rnacentral:tRNA from 2 species